rnacentral:rRNA from 1 species
GAUGAACGCUGGCGGCGUGCUUAACACAUGCAAGUCGAACGGAAAGGCCCAAGCUUGCUUGGGUACUCGAGUGGCGAACGGGUGAGUAACACGUGGGUGAUCUGCCCUGCACUUCGGGAUAAGCCUGGGAAACUGGGUCUAAUACCGGAUAGGACGAUGGUUUGGAUGCCAUUGUGGAAAGUUUUUUCGGUGUGGGAUGAGCUCGCGGCCUAUCAGCUUGUUGGUGGGGUAAUGGCCUACCAAGGCGUCGACGGGUAGCCGGCCUGAGAGGGUGUACGGCCACAUUGGGACUGGGAUACGGCCCAGACUACUACGGGAGGCAGCAGUGGGGAAUAUUGCACAAUGGGCGCAAGCCUGAUGCAGCGACGCCGCGUGGGGGAUGACGGCCUUCGGGUUGUAAACUCCUUUCGCUAGGGACGAAGCGUUUUUGUGACGGUACCUGGAGAAGAAGCACCGGCUAACUACGUG